rfam:Gossypium arboreum cultivar AKA8401 contig_6484_7, whole genome shotgun sequence.
UAUUAAAAUUUUCAUCCAUUUGUACUAUUAAAAAUUGAUGCGGUUGACUAGAAAACUAGAUAGUGACAUGUGGCAUGCCAUGUGUAUCUCAUGCUGUGUACGAGGAUCAAUUUUUACUAGUAUAAAUAGAUGAAAUUUUUAACA